CUGUCCUUCCAAGCCAGCAUGCUAGGCACGUCAGAGAUAGAGUGGAACUUGAGGCUAAAAACGGCAAAUGACUUCGUUUUGAUUAAAUAUGUAAAAAAGAAGGAAACAGGGAAGGAACGGCGGUCCGGAUGGGCAGUGGAGGAGGCAUCACCGCCCUCCAGCUGGGUGGAGUGGUAACCAUAGGAACUGAAGUCCGGAUCACCGGCCGAGGGCAAAGCAAGGCCAAGGGAACUAGAGAGGAAAGUCAUACACAUCAAGAAGCUCAGCACCUAUUCUGAAAUUACCUGGAGGGAGCCUUCCUCUCCCCCACAUGGCUGCCAGGCUGAGUUAUGGCCACCACCAUGAACACACCCCUUGCUCCUCGAUGAAGAAUGUGUCUGCCCCAAAGAACAACAUGUCCAUAGUGUUCAGUCUUGCUCUCAAGAAUGUAUUCAGCCAUCUUGAUCUCAAGCAUCAUUUGACCUGGGAGCUCCCACCAAACAAGGUCUCUGACCCCACAUGGUUUUGCCAACUUCCAUGGACUACCUCUUCACAUAUUGUUCCCAUAUAUGGCUUAUGUCUUCCAAUAUUUGGACUAUCAACUCCUCAAAGAAGCAUUAUCAAAUGGGUGAAUUCUUCUACUCUUUAUGAUUCUGUAGUCCAUAGCCCUUCAAUAUUUAUGUGUUUUAAACAAUUUCUGAGGAAAAAUUGUACUACUUUGAAA